AUGAAAGACAUGAGUUCUGAGUCUUCUAAUAAAUAUCUCCUCCACCUCCUCUCCUCAUCCUCUAAACUCUCUCAUCUGUCAGCAGUGAGGUCACCCUUAGAAAAUCCAAGAUCAUUCUCAGAACAAACUGACAACAUACUGGGGACCCUCUGCUCUCUCAUCACAGCUCUAACAUGUGUGAGUGGAGUGACAGUGGUGACACAGAAGCCUUCAGUUCUGACGGUGAGGAAAGGAGAGACAGCCACCAUAGACUGUAACCUGGGGACUGUUACUGACAGUAGUGCCCGUUGGUACAGACAGAUCCCAGGAGGAGUUCCUCUCUAUAUGCUGAGGUUUUAUCAUGGCUGGAGUUCACCCAGAUAUGAGACUGGGUUCCCUUCUGCAAGACACACUUCCACUCAUCAAUCAACAUCAGAUUAUCGUUUGACUAUCAGCAAUGUUGAAAAAGGAGACUCUGCAGUUUAUUACUGUCACACAUGGGAUGACUCUGCUAAAGAGGAGGUAUCACAGUGA